rnacentral:lncRNA from 10 species
UAAAACCCGACUUUACUCACCCUUUAAACCAUCUACGAGCCGAAAUUUUCGUGUCUGUGGGACAGACAAGCACCCCGUCUUUAGCUGAGCUAAGGAAAAGUUCUGCAACACCAACAUCUUGAUUUUAUCUCCUAUGAAAUCCACAUUGGUCUUCUGACCUCCAGAAAGCUAUGGUGCAGUAUGAUGACCACCAUCCCAGUCUGCCAAGGAAUGAGUAACUUCCUGCAAUUUAGGACUUUCGGCCCUAAAACCAGUACAGUCCUGGACACACUAAGAUUGUUGGUCACCCUAGAAGAAUGGAGAUCUGGCGGCUACCACUCACAUAUACUCGUAGAACAUUGAUUGCAAGUGCCACUGCAGAGCGCAAUUCCUGGGGCACGUCGGACAUUCAGUAAAUACGUUUAUUGAAUGAAUAAAACAUAACACAGAAACAGAGCGACCUCAGGGCAAGGGACCACGAGAAAUGAAGACAUUCCCUAGGUAUCUGAGAGCUGGCAAUCAAAAGCUGAUGGAGGAUGCUUCAGUAUUUCAACUAUAUGCAAGAACUGAUCAAGACGCCAUAAAGUGCAACUUGGAGCAACUGCAGACCAUGAAAUCGAAUAUUUUCUACAAAUAACAAUAAAGAAAUGAAAUAUAGCAUGCGGAAGGGUGUAGGAACAUAAAACUGCAUGGACAAAGAAGAGAAUCCGUGGAUCACGCAGAAACAAUAUAAGAGACAAAAGUGGAACUUCUGCAGUCCCAGCUACUCAGAAGGCUGACGCAGGAGGAUCGCUUGAGCCCAGGAGUUUGAGCCUGCAGCGAGCUAUGUUCAUACCACUGCACCCCAGCCUGAGUGACAGAGUAAAACCCUGUCUCUAAAAAAGAAAAAAAAAAGUAGAACCCAUAGGAAGCAGGUCAAAGGAAUAAAGGAAUUCCCAUGUUAUUAUUUGUUGUUGUUGUUAAAAACAUAUUGAGUGAAUGAAAGCAGACACACAUAACCAUAUACUGAUUGAUUCUAUUUAUAUGAAGUUCAUAAAUCAACAAAGCAAAUCUAUAGUUAUAGAACUGAGAAAGGGUUUAGGUAUGGGAAGUGGGAGGAAGUGGCAGGAAAAGGGCAUAAGACAACUUAUAUGGUGAUAAAUACUCUCCCG